CAGCAGCCGCGGGAAUACGUAGGUGGCAAGCGUUGUCCGGAAUUAUUGGGCGUAAAGGGCCCGCAGGCGGUUUCUUAAGUCUGAUGUGAAAGCCCCCGGCUCAACCGGGGAGGGUCAUUGGAAACUGGGAAACUUGAGUGCAGAAGAGGAGAGUGGAAUUCCACGUGUAGCGGUGAAAUGCGUAGAGAUGUGGAGGAACACCAGUGGCGAAGGCGACUCUCUGGUCUGCAACUGACGCUGAGGAGCGAAAGCGUGGGGAGCGAACAGGAUUAGAUACCCGCGUAGUCCCUGUCUCUUAUAC
rnacentral:rRNA from 1 species